CUACGGGCCGCUGCAGUGGGGAAUAUUGCACAAUGAGCGAAAGCUUGAUGCAGCCAUACCGCGUGUGUGAAGAAGGCCCGAGGGUUGUAAAGCACUUUCAAUUGGGAGGAAGGUUAAGUAGUUAAUACCUGCUUAAUUUGACGUUACCUUUAGAAGAAGCACCGGCUAACUCUGUGCCAGCAGCCGCGGUAAUACAGAGGGUGCAAGCGUUAUUCGGAAUUACUGGGCGUAAGGCGCGCGUAGGCGGAUUAUUAAGUCAGUUGUGAAAGCCCUGGGCUCAACCUGGGAACUGCAUCUGAUACUGGUAGUCUAGAGUUUAAGAGAGGGAAGUGGAAUUCCAGGUGUAGCAGUGAAAUGCGUAGAUAUCUGGAGGAACAUCAGUGGCGAAGGCGACUUCCUGGCUUAAAACUGACGCUGAGGUGCGAAAGCGUGGGUAGCGAACGGGAUUAGAUACCCGCGUAGUC
rnacentral:rRNA from 1 species